UGCUAGGGUAAUAUCCAUCAGGUUGACUGCCGCGCUGGAGUCCACCAAGGCGUUGAGGGAGGCAAUGGGAUGGUUCUUGCCUACGUGA
rnacentral:pre_miRNA from 1 species